rnacentral:rRNA from 1 species
UACGGAGGUCCCAAGCGUUGUUCGGAAUUACUGGGCGUAAAGGGAGCGCAGGCGGACAGCUUAGUCUAAAGUGGAAUCCCAGGGCUCAACCCUGGACGUGCUUUGGAUACUGGCUGUCUUGAGUUCGUGAGAGGAAAGUGGAAUUCAGGGUGUAGCGGUGAAAUGCUUAGAUAUCCUGAGGAACACCAGUGGCGAAAGCGACUUUCUGGCACGUAACUGACGCUGAGGCUCGAAAGCGUGGGUAGCGAAC